CUAUGGAAUCAUUGACACUUAUGAUGGACCCCAGGACGAACUAAAAGGGCUCCAAUGUCAAAACGGAGAUCCAACUAAAAAUGGCUCCAAAGCGCCCCCCACGAAAUUUCAAACGGUAAGCCUUGCUUCUGUAUGUGACCCAAACCUAUAGAAUCAAUAACACUUGUUCUGGACACCAAGACGAACAAAAGAGGGAGGCGGUCCACAGAUGUGGCGUCAUGGCAAAGCUCAGGCCCGUUGGUGCCAUGUGGAGGGCUUGUUGGUUUUGAAUUUGUAGAAAAGUUUAAGGGUCUUGCUUGUGUCUACUUAUAAAAGAAAGCGAAAGAAAAGAAAGGACGAAAUAGACAAAAAUGUUCAAGGUCCCCUAUUAUGAAAAAUCCACAUUUGGGUGGUUUCCCCUCGAAGCUGACAACCCCUCAACAUGAAAAAAUUUCAUUCUUUCCCUCUCUUGCUUUCCUCUCCUCUCUGAAAACAUGAGCGCAAACAGGUGUAUGGAAAAGCUGUGCGGUUAUGUCGAUAUAAUCGCAUUAUCCCCCCUACAUGUUAGAGGCAGCACCCCGAUAAUUGUUAGCCCAGCCCUAUAAAACUUCUUUGCUGAGGUAGUGUCUGCCAUUUUUCCCCUUGCAUGCGCCGAUCCGGUACAGCAACCACCCCGAAGCUAUGAUCCAGCCACUGUGUGGUUCUUGGCUGCACAAAUGAAGACAAGAGUCUAUUUCUGCCCCCUUUAACGUAAGAUUUGAGGACCCAGUGAAUUGAUUUUAUUUUUAAUGAAAAUGUACCCGCAACAACUCUAAAAAAUGUUGUAUGUGUGUGCUAACCAUUUCACCAUGGACUGCUUUACCAAUGAGGGGCAGAUUAAAGCAGGAUUCGCUAAGAAGCUGAAGAUAAAACCUUGAUCAGUACCAACUGUCCGUGUCAGGAACCCAACUUCAAACGUGGAAGCUGUACGUUCUACCAUUUUAUGUUGUUUGACCGCCUGUAUAACUAGUGCUUUGGCUGCAAUCACGUGUGUUUACCAUCGUUGGUAUUCAUUGUUGGUUUCAUUUCUAUUUACUUUUAUUCCUGUGAGCAGCAGGUGUUCCUCGGGGGUGCGGAGGCAAGUUGGUGCCACAGUGGGCUGGAGGCCCUCUGAAGAGGUCCUCAGAAGAGCUCCAGACCACCGCUCCUGGACCACUGUGGCGGUGGGUACAGGCUGGCUGAUAUCCACAAAUAAACUGGUGUUUUAGACAACAAACAUCAAAUUUACUCGUGUGCGAUCUCUAGGAUCGAUUUAAACUUGAUGAAAAAUGCCAUAAUAGGAGACCUUUAAGGAAACAGAAAAGCUGAUGGCAAAAGUAAAUGCACCCUUCUUACAUACGGCCCAAGGAAAGAGUCCCCCACCUUAUGAGAGAGAGUUAAAGUUCACUGAUGUUUAUCCUCAGCUCCCAGUAAUUAAACAGGAGGGUAACUAUCACAUCAAAGAUGAAGAAUAGAGAAUAAUAGAGACAGGAAAUGCUAAAACAACUGUAAAGAUGUACCGAAGUAAUAAAAGUAAAAAGAAAGCAGGACGUCCAGCAAGUAGCAGUCAACAAAGAUUUAAAAAAAUAGAAAUGGGAGAUGAAAGUCAGAGUGAUGUGGGUGAGGCCAUUGGAGGUUAUGACCCAGCAGUUAGAUGGGUAUUAGCCAAAGCAGGGAAAAUAGGAGAAAAAUCACAGAGGAAAAAAGAAACUAGUAAGGGACACCACUGAGGAGAGUGAAAAUGAGGAUAGAGAAGAAGAUUCAGAAAGUGAGGGACCUUCAUAUUCCACCCUGUUAGUGUCCAGUUCUGAAUCUGCUUAUGAGAGACAGAGGGCUUUAGUAAAAAAGAUUGAGGGAAGUAUAAAUAGAUGUCUUACAGACAUGAAUAAAUCUACCAGUCCAGAAAGCCACGAAGAAGAAAAAGUCAGAAAGUUAGACACUUCACAAUAUGCAUUACGCCCAAGAAAAGAGGAUAAGCCAUCUGAUAAAAUGUG
rnacentral:lncRNA from 1 species